rnacentral:lncRNA from 1 species
ACCACCCUCGAGCACGAAACUCAUAGCAAGUAUGAUCGAAUCCUUAACUCAAAGGAUUGUAUGUUCAAUCUUGACUUUACACUAACUCUAGUGUUCUUUACAUCACUUUAUGUUGCUACUCUUAGCAAUCAUUGUUCUUUACCUUUCUUUACUUUUGCUAACUCUAGCAAUCAUGUUCUUUACUCUUUGCAUGUUUUUUAUGCCUCACUUUACACUUACUUUAGUCAUUGUCAUUACUCUUUACAUCACGUUGAUUCAUUGCCUCGCACUAACUCUAGUGUCACUUUACUUUACAUUAUCGAAUGCCACUCGAUCUAUCUCUCUUUGUGUCACUCUGUUCUUUCGCCUCACUUUGGUACUCAUAUUUUCUCUCAUGCAUACAU